UACGGAGGAGGCAAGCGUUAUCCGGAAUUAUUGGGCGUAAAGCGUCCGCAGGUGGCACCUCAAGUCUGCUGUCAAAGACCGGGGCUUAACCCCAGAAAGGCAGUGGAAACUGAAGUGCUAGAGUGCAGUAGGGGUAGAGGGAAUUCCCGGUGUAGCGGUGAAAUGCGUAGAGAUCGGGAAGAACAUCGGUGGCGAAAGCGCUCUGCUGGACUGCAACUGACACUCGAGGGACGAAAGCUAGGGGAGCGAAUGGG
rnacentral:rRNA from 1 species